UACGUAGGGGGCAAGCGUUGUUCGGAAUUACUGGGCGUAAAGGGCGCGUAGGCGGCCGCCUAAGUCAGACGUGAAACCCCUCGGCUCAACCGGGGAACUGCGUCUGAUACUGGGUGGCUUGAAUCCGGGAGAGGGAUGCGGAAUUCCAGGUGUAGCGGUGAAAUGCGUAGAUAUCUGGAGGAACACCGGUGGCGAAGGCGGCAUCCUGGACCGGCAUUGACGCUGAGGCGCGAAAGCCAGGGGAGCAAACGGG
rnacentral:rRNA from 1 species